GAGUUUGAUCAUGGCUCAGGACGAACGCUGGCGGCGUGCCUAACACAUGCAAGUCGAACGGGGUACCUCAAAAUAAGUUUUCGGACAAGUGGAGAGGCUACCUAGUGGCGGACGGGUGAGUAAUGCGUGGGCAACCUGCCCUCAAGUGGGGGACAACAGUUGGAAACGACUGCUAAUACCGCAUAAUGUACAGAGAUGGCAUCAUCACUGUACCAAAGAUUUAUCGCUUGAGGAUGGGCCCACGUCUGAUUAGUUUGUUGGUGAGGUAACGGCUCACCAAGACUGCGAUCAGUAGCCGGACUGAGAGGUUGAACGGCCACAUUGGGACUGAGAUACGGCCCAGACUCCUACGGGAGGCAGCAGUGGGGAAUAUUGGUCAAUGGGGGAAACCCUGAACCAGCAACGCCGCGUGAAGGAAGAAGGCUUUCGGGUUGUAAACUUCUUUUACCAGGGAAGAAACAAAUGACGGUACCUGGAGAAUAAGCCACGGCUAACUACGUGCCAGCAGCCGCGGUAAUACGUAGGUGGCAAGCGUUGUCCGGAUUUACUGGGUGUAA
rnacentral:rRNA from 2 species